CAGCAUCUCUAAUAGGAGGAGCUGCUUUCGGAGAAUUACUUAAAGCAGUUCUUGAAAUUGAACACAAAGCCCGAAGCUUUGAGAAAACCUUUACAUUAGAACCACUCUAACGGCAAUUCAGCCUUUGAUCAGAGAGAUUGAACAACACAACAACGAAUUGGGUCGCUCGCCCAAAGGAAGAACUUGAAUCGUUGAUAAGAGACAUGGAAGAAGGGACAAAGCUUGUUUAAUUUACAAGUGUUACAAGAUCUGCAGGUGCAGUUUUCCGGCAAGGAUCCAUUGCCAAGAACAGCUUGCAGCACUGGUGGAGCCUCUUGUCAGAUUCUUUAUUAUCAUUGAUAUGCAAGCUCAGACUGCCCGAGAUUUGAAGGAGACUUUGCUCAAGUUAUACGAGGAAGCCAUAAAUCAGUCAUCAGUGCCGAAGCAGGCAAAUGAAGACACACCAAAAUUGAAUGAUUCUUAAUUAUAAUAAAAUGAUCUCUGAAGUUUACAUGCAGGGUGCUUAUGAUAAAAAGGCACCGCCGAAUCGUGUGAGAUUUAGUGAAGAAACACAUCAGUCAACGUCAAUCAAGAAAUCUGAAGAUGCUGCUUGGAAAAAUAAUUCUUCUCGUCCUACCUUCAAACAACCUUAGCGGCGAUAGAUCCUUUGAUAAAAAGAAAUUCACCAUGAUAACAUCAAUUACUUGUUGGACCGCCCAAAAGAAGAACUAAGAUUGUUGAUUCGACAACUAGAAGAGGUCACUAACCUUGUUUACAUGUGUUCAAGAAUCCACAAGUUGAAUUACCUUGCCAGGAUAAGGUGUCAAGAACAACUUGCCAUGGUAGAGUUUCUGGUGAAGUUCUUUAUCGUUUGAUAAGCAACAUUAUGAUAAUACAGAAUUGACCUUGAGGCCUGCCUCCCUCGAUGAACUUUACAGCGUACGACUCACUAUGUCAUUUCUCUCUAAUCAUUUAUGAUCUAUCUUAAUAAAAUGUUCUUUUAUUUCU